AUGGAGAGGAGCUGGUUCGGGUGGAGGAAGGCGAAGCAGGGCGGAGGUGGCGGUGCCGGCGGCGGCGGCGGGGAGAGGGAGGAGGAGGAGGAUCGGGCCAAGGUGGUGGUGGACGGGUCCGGGAUACGGGAGCUGGUGGAGGACCGGGAGGCGUUCGGCAUGUUCGCGGAGAGCAAGUUCCGGCAGCUCGACGCCGACGGGGACGGCCGGCUGUCCGUGCGGGAGCUGCAGCCCGCCGUGGCCGACAUCGGCGCCUCGCUCGGCCUGCCCGCGCAGGGCUCCUCGCCCAACGCCGACCACAUCUACUCCGAGGCAAUGAGCGAGUUCGCUCAUGGUCAUGGGAACCAAGAGGGGGUGAGCAGGGCAGAGUUCCAGGAGGUCCUGUCCGACAUUCUCCUUGGCAUGGCGGCCGGGCUCAAGAAGGACCCGAUCGUGAUACUGCGCAUCGACGGCGAGGACCUCAGGGACUUCGUGUCCAGCCCAAGGUAUGAGCCGGCAGCCGCUGCCAUCUUCUCACAGGUUGGGUCUGGAGAUGCCCCUCUCCGGCAAUGCUUGCUAGCCGCCGUCCAGCAGCUCGGCGUCGACCACGGCAUGCCCCCAGCCGCUGACCCUUGGGUGGUAGAGAACGUGGUAGAGCCGGCAUUGCAGCAGCUCUCCACCGAUGAGCUCGAGCAACCGGCGUCCCGGGACGUCUUCUUAGAGCAGCUGAAGAAGCUGCUGGGCAGCGUCGCGGAGCAGCUUCAGGAGCGGCACGUCAUCGUUGCGCACACCGAGAACACCUUCGACGGGACCGGUGUCAGGAGGCUGCUGGGAAACAAGUUCGAGCUGGACAAGCUGCUGGAUUCUGUGUGGAGGGACGUGCCGGCGGAGCUCAGGAAGAAGGCGCCCAAGGACAAGGAGCACCUGCGAGUCGCACUCGAUAAGAUGGCCGAUGCAGCAAGCUUACCACCCCAUGGCUCUGUUGCUCAGGUGGACGCCGUCGUGGACGAGGCGCUCAAGGUGGCGGACGCCGGCGACGGGAAGGUGGUCGAAGAAGCGGAGUUCAAGAAGCUGCUGACGGAGGUGCUUGGGGCCGUGAUGCUGCGGCUGAGCGGCGAACCGAUCUUCUUCUCCACCAGCACCGUCGUCCACGAGCCGCUGUCCAGCUCGUCCGCCCUGUUGCCGUCGCCGGCGGUGGCAUCACCGCCGAGCGAGUAG
rnacentral:rRNA from 1 species